rnacentral:lncRNA from 1 species
UUGCCUCUUAAACAUCAGAACAUAUCCAGCCCCCUCUCUUCUCCAGUACACAUUCCAAUUCACACACAACCUAGGGUGAGUAAUUUAAAAGUAGCAACAAAGAGUCACCAUCUUCCUGCUUUGUAUUCUUACCAACUGAUGUGAGACACCACAUAUUUCCAUGUGCUUGGGUAAGUUACCAAUUUUUUUUCCUCUGCAAUUUUGUUUAUAAAUGGGUGAAUAAUAUCACCUGGUUAAUACCUAAUUUGUUACCCUAAAUGUGUUUGUGAAAAGCGAGUUGGGAUUUUUCUUGGGUUUCAUGAGAUGUACUCCAAGUGAAGCCAUAUACUUUAUUUGUGAGUGUGUGUGCUUGAUUAAUUUUCACUCUUUCUUAAUUAUUGGCACUACCUAGGGCUGAAAUGUUUGUGACAUGUUGAAUUAGAUUUUGCAGAAUUUUCAAGGGAAAUCAAUGCUAGAUAUGUUUUAAAUAGUAUCAGAAAUUAUGUGUUCCGAAGGUGUUUGAAAAUAUUUCACAAUGAACACCUUUGAGUGUCCCAAAGAAAUAAAGUUACAGUUGACUAGAAAGCCUAUUUGCAUAUCAACAUGAUCUUUUUGUUUUGUCAUACUAAGGCCAAAACAUAAAAAUAAGAUUUUUGGAACCGAAAGAUUCUACUUUAAUAGUAAUGUUUGUGCAAAUAGUGCUUAACAUUUUAAUAUUAACUUCUGAAUAUCUUGCUGGUACUAGCUUUUAGAAGAAACCACUUAAUAUAUUUUGAUUGAAUUACGCUUUCCUUCUCUCAAUUGUAUAAAAUUUGGAAUAUAUAUAUAUAUAUAUAUUCAUGAAUUAUUAAAAAAAGCAUCAACUAAAUAAUUAAUACUGUAGAUUACUUAAGCAACAACACGAUUUAGCAGCUAUUGUUAAUGAAUAAGAUGUUUCAAAGCUUAUUUUGUUGUACAUGAAUAUGACAAUAUGCAUUUCACUUUUUUCUGUGUGGUAUCCCUGCUUCUAUUGCUUUCUUUAGUUAUCUCUAUGUGUCACUAUUAGCGACUUUGGUCUAUUGCUUUGUCCGUUUCACUUAUUAGUUAGUCCUAAAUUAAUUUUAUGCUAAAAAGUUUUGCUUUAGUUUAUGAGAUCUUUGAAUAAAUAUAUGAACUAGAUUGUUUGUGAAUCUUUAUGAUAUUAAUAGGUAUUGUUGCACCUGUUGUUCUUCAGUUGCGCUUAUCCAGAAAAUACUUUAAAGAAAAUGUUUGUUGUUUGGAGAUGCAACUCAUGCACUUGGACCAUGAACUAAAACAAGCAUCAAAUAUUUCUAGUGUAUCAUAUUGGAUGAGAAUAGUAAGUUGGCUCUUGAUUUUGCUGUGUCAUCUAUUUAAUAUUAAACAUUUAUGAAUCUUUUCUCUGUUUAGAAUUUUGAAUGCCAUAUUAUUUCUAUUCUGUAAUAGGCUUUUUCCUCAGGUUUAGCUAUUAUUUGUAUGCUAGCGACAACUUGUCCUAUGUAUUUCUAUUUGUGUGCUAGUAACAACUUGUCCUGCUAUUAAUUACAAUAUUGCGAUUGCGGUUUAUUAGACUAACCUUAGUGGCACAGUUGAAGUUAAAAAUUGAAGCUUCUUAUUUUUUCAUUCUAAUAGUUUUUGCUAUCUUAGAGGUGAAAUAAAUAUAAACGUGAAUCAGGCUGGUCCAAAUAAAGAAGUUUUCCUACAUGUUAUAGACAAGAAGAAUGUAAUGACCCGACUGGUCAUUUUGAGCAAUUGUGCCCGAUUCAACAGUUUGAGGCCUUGAACAGAUUCACAUUAUGUAUAUCGAAUAUUGUGCAUGGUUGGAUUCAGUCUCCGGAUGAAUCAGAGUCGUACUGGAAGAAGGAACCUAGUUUUGGAAGUUUAAAUAGUGAAAAUUUGACAGGAAUUGGACUUUUGAGUAAAUAGCCCCGGAACGGGUCGUGGGUGAUCUCAACAGCUUCGUAUAGUGAUUUUGGACUUAGGCGCGCAUCCGGAUUCCGAUUUGGAGGUUCGUAGGGUAAUUUGAGGUAUUUCGGCGAAAGUUUGGAAAAUGGAGAAGUUUGACCCAUAGUUGACUUUUCUGAUAUUGGGGUGGGAAUGCAAUUCCGAGAGUUAGAACAGUUAUGUUAUGUCAUGUUGGACUUAUCUGCAAAAUUUAGCGUCAUUCCAGGUUGAAUUGAUAGCUUUCGGCACGAGUUUUGGAAGUUGGAUGGUUUCAAAGUUCCUAAGUUUGAUUCGUGGUGUGAUUCAUUGUUUCGACAUUGUUUGAUGUGAUUUGUGACCUCUAGUGAGUCCGUGUUAGGUUAUAUGACUUGUUUGUAUGUUUGGAUGGGGUACCGAGGGCCUUGGGUGUGUUCUGGGUGGGCUACGGGUCAUUUCCCCUUGUUUUUGAAUUGUUGUUUUCUGAUUUUGGUAUCCACUUUCGCAAUUGCGAACCACCUUCCGUGUUUGCGAAGCUUUAUUGUUGACCACCUGGAAAUCCUUCUUCACGUUCGCAUUUAGAGCCUCGCAUUCACGAAGCUCUACUUUAUCCCUCAUCACGUUCGUGUCCCCCCCUCACGCGUUCACGUAGUCAUGUUGUUCCACUCUUCGCGUUCGCGUACUAGUUCACGCGUUCGCGAAGAGCAAUCUCUGGGCCAUAAUAUUUUCCUUCUUCACGUUCACAUGCAUGUUGUCGCCUACGCGAAGCACAACAGGGCAGCCUUAAUUUUUCUUCUACGCAAACGCAAUACUUCCUCCGCGUUCGCGAUGCUUUAAGACCUGGGUAGAAUAAAUAGUACUCUAUUCUGAGGGUUUGCCAUUUUCACCAUUUUUGGAGUUCUAGAGCUCGGUUUUGGGCGAUUAUUUGUGGGGUUUUCAAGCAAAACGAUUGGGUAAGUGUUCUUCACCUAAAAUUGAUUAUAUUCCAUGAAUUUGUCUUCAUUUUUAUCAUCUAAUUUGUGAUUUGGGUUGAGUAAAAUAUUAGUUUUUUUUGAAGAAAAUUUUUAAAAUGAAAAAUCGUGAUUUGAUGGGCCAAAUGGUAUCAGAAUUUAAUAAAUUUUGUAUGGUUGCACUCAUAUUGGAAUGUGUAUUAAGAUUUUGUAAAAUUUUUUGGGUUACGAGGCGCGGGCCGGGGGGUCGACUUUUGGACCAAAUUUUGGAUUUUGUUAAAGAUUGAGACUUUAUGAUCCGGAAUAGUUUCUUAUGUGUUUUAUUUGUGUUUUGAAGUUAAUUUGGUUAGAUUUGAGCCGUCCGGAGGUCUUUUUACUCGAGAAGUGCAUUUUAAAGUAUCGGUUUGUCGACUUUGAGGUAAGUAUCUUGCCUAACCUUGUGUGGAGGACUUCCCCUUAGUAUUUGAGUCUUCCAUGCUAAUUGUAGUCCGUGCAUGCGAGGUGACAAGUGUGUGCUCGAACUUAUUUGUGGAAAAUUUGCUCUAGGGUUCUUAGGUCCUUAUGUUCAUUAUGUAAAAGUAUUCCGUUAUGAUUGAGUUUCCUAAUUGCUUAAAUUACCUCUAUAUGCUCCAUAUGAUGUUGCUAGCUUUCCUCUAAUUCCUACGUGUUACAUUGACCCUUAUUUGCCUUACUUGAAGUAAUUGCCUUCCUUAUUGUUUUGAUACUUCUUGAUUGUGAGUUCCUCUAUGGCUUCGUGCAAAUAGGUUACAUGUCCAAUUGUUGUGGAUACCGAUGUAGUUAUCACGUGCUUAUUAUGUCUUGUUGUUUAGUUGAGGUUUCAUUGUGAAGUUAAUUAUUGGUAUGAGUUUGGUUAUAGUUGAUUCCCUUGUCGGGACAUAUUUAAUUCUUACUGUUGGUUCCCUUGCCGGGAUGUAUUUAUUCUUGGUGUUGACUCUCUUAUCGGGAUAUAGUUAUUUCCUUAUUGUUCCCUUGCUGUGAUGAUUGGUGUUGAUUUGUAUAUUAGGAUUAGGUUGCACGCCGCAACAUCAUUAUAUGAUUUGGAUCGGGUUGCACGCCGCAACAUUAUUAUAUGAUUUGGAUCGGGUUGUACACCGCAACAUCAUUAUAUUUUGAUCGGGUUGCAUGCUGCAACAAUAUUACAUGAUUUGGAUCGGGUUGCACGUCGCAAUAUCAUUAUAUGAUUUGGAUCGGGAUGCAUGCCGCAACAGUACUAUAUGAUUGGGAUCGGGUUGCAUGCCGCAAGAAGAAAGAAUAAAAGUGAAUAUUAACUCAUAUGGUGAGAACGAGAGAGUAAAAGCAAGAAUGGUGAUGCCGUGCACUUUUUACUGCUGUGUUUAUUUGUUGUUAUCAAUUCAAGUGUUUAAACUGUUUAAAUUUCUUUAUUGAUGUGAUCCUUUGUGUUAUAACCGACAAUGUUUUCAAUACCUCACCAAAUUUAUAUGUAUAUGUAUAUAUAUAUAUUCUAAUACUUCAAACUCCAAUAAUUGUUACAACCUUAAUUCAGUCAGUUUCUCAAUUAUACCCCUUGAAACCGUCUGAGGUUGUAUUUUACUUAAACAAGAAUUUCUACUAAGUUUUAAGUUAUUAAAUCUCAUGUUAAAGGUAAUAAUCCAUUCGAUGUUGUAUUUUUAAAUUAAAAGGGGUACUUUCUUUACUCAAAUGAUUUCAAAAGAAACAACUUCAUCAUUUCUCGCUGGCUUUCCCAAUUAGUUUAGAAAUUGUAAUUUUACUUAUAUGAGGUAAAUGAGACUUCUAGAAUAUAUUGAGUGCAUUGUGCGAACAUUAUGUAUUGUAUAGCGUGUGGAUUCUGUUGUCAAAAGUGAGAUGGAAAAUAUGGGGGCACAAGGUUCCAUGCGUGUGGAAGGUUCGGGAGUUAAGAUUAUGAUGUGAGAAACCAAGGAUUGAGAUGGUCGGGAUUGAGUAUUAGACACGAUACGAUUUAUUGAUGUGAUUGAUUGAGUGGGCAAUUCCUUUUUAAUUGAAUACAUUCUUACUUGUCUCUAUUCCUGUUAUAUCAGUGUUGAUUUACUUGGUUAUUUGAUUUACUUGGGUAUCGUUCGUUACUACCCGUGUUCUCCCUUUACUGUUCAUACUGUUUGUAUUUUGAUUUCUUUUCGCUAUUGAUAUUACCUCGUUAACUCUAUCUCGAUCUUUUAUUAUCAUAUCCUGUUCAUUUCAUUUGACCAGUAGGUGUCUUGAUUGUUCCUUGUCACUACCCCACCGAGGUUAGUCUUGAUACUUACUAGGCAUUGUUGUGGUGUGCUCAUACUACACUUCUGUACAUUUUUUUGUGUAUAGAUCCAGGCAUUGAUCGAUAGUAGUUGUACGGGUAGUCGCAGUAGAGACUCAUGGUAACCUGUUGUUGCGUUUGCAGGCCUCGAAGUCACCUUCGUUUGUAUUUACAUUCCAUUGAUUCCUUCUCGUUCUGGAACAAUGUUGUAUUUAUUUUGUAUAACUACUCUUAGAAAGGUUUAUGAUUUGUACCACCGGUUUUGGGAAUUGUGAUUUAUUGAGAGUUAUUUAAUUUGAAGUAAGUAAAUGUUAAUGUUAUUUCUAUAAAUGUUAGGCUUACCUAGUUUAGAGACUAGGAGACAUCAUGAGUCCUUCGGAGAGAUUUUGGGUCGUGACAAGUUGGUAUCAGAGCUGUAGGUUUAUGGGUUCUACGAGUCAUAAGCAGGUUUAGUAGAGUCUUUCGGGUCGGUACGGAGACGUCUGUACUUAUCUUCAAGAGGCUACAGAACUGUUAGGAAAUUCCACUUCUUUCAUUCCCUAUCAUGCAAUAUUGAUUCAGCUCGAAGUAUAUGACUUAUGUCCCUCUACAUCCACUCCUGUAUAAUAUUAUGCUCUCAACAUUCGCUAUGCACCAGUGGUUCCUGAUGCUAUAGAUAGGCUACAAAUGAGUCAGGGAUUCUCGGGCAUUACCUCGACGUGUUGUCCAAACUGAAGAUAUAAAGGCAUUGAGAGACUAUUCAGUUGUUCGUAUGGAGGCGCAACGGUUUCCGACACCUGAUUGAUGAGUGCGAGCUUGGGAAGGUUUAAUUGGUCGGCUACUCAUCGUGAUUGUGGCAAGGCCACGAAGUGGGUGUUGAUUGGGAAUAGUUGGUGGUAUUGGAGUACCUUUUGAUUUGUGUUGUACGAGCUUUGAAGGUUAGUUUUGCGGAUCAUCAAACAUUGUUUUCUAUGGCUUUGCGCCAAGUGGAGGAGUUCAAUAGCGACAUUCAGAUUGCAGAGUCAAAUUUGUAUCAAUCUUAGCAUGAGGUAUGUAAAUUUGUGGUAUUGGUAGAUUCCCGAAUUUGGGGUAUGACCAGGGUCUGAGAUCUCGUACAAGAUGAUGUUGGGGCUUAUAGUAUUUCUACGCCAAUAAUGGAGCUACAUAUCAGCAUCAAGGGGAUUUGGAGGAAUAACUUCAAAUUCAUAGGAUGUCUAUUCAGCAUGGGUAUCGUGGUUGCGGCAGAACGGGGUGCUUCAGAUGUAAUGCGGUGGUUUAUGAGUUUCUUGCUACGUGGUUCAUGCUAGAGUCAUCUGCAUGUGGGGCUUUGAUGGGAGUUAUUGUAUAUCGACUAUCCAAAGAAAUGAGUCAGUUUAGUAGUGUUGGGUUAGCAUAGCCAUGGAGGUAAAUGGUCCUUUGAAAUGGGAAUUUUCUACUGGCAUUUGUGGCAGCACUCUUGGAUUAGGCAGUUUAUGAGACUCGGUUGAGUUGGGGAGGUGCAGUUCUGAUGGUCUGGUUGCGUGCGGGCGGAUCUUGGAGGGUUCCCGAUGGUUUGACUAUGGCUUGAGUUAGGUGUCUACUAUGGGCAUCAGGAAUAUAGGGUACAUUGCGGUUUCUCCCGAAUCGGUAUAUGAAAUUAAUAGAGCGUUGGCAUUGUUGGCUAUCAUAUGUGAAGAAUGUGCAUUUUUGGAAAGGACCUUGAGUUUUAGUUUGCAGUGCGUGGCUAGUAGCAGGGUGAUUACUAGGUUUUAAGGCUUUCGAGGUUCAUAUUUUGUUACGCGGUCAGAAACUCUAUAUGAGUGCUUCAGUAGAAUGAUAGGGUGUAAGUUAUAUAUAAGCCAUUUGAUUGCAUAGUGGAGUUAGAGUAUGAAAAUUUUGGUAUUCCUGAGGUUUUGGGUCUAGAUGCCCUCAUAAGCGAAUUAUUUCCUGUUUGCGGAUGGUGGAGGACCAUUGAGGAUGAGAUAGUUAAUAGCAUGCAUGAUUGAUAGGUCACUGUGGAUUUUUGGAAAGGAUAUUUACCUAUUUGGAGGUAAUUAGGAUUUGGUUGUGGGGUAUUUGGGGGAUCAACGGGAAUAUGUAUGUCGUGUCAGAGCAAAUUUGUGUGCCUCUAUGAGAUUGUCAUGUGAUCAGGUAGGAGGGAUAUUACAUGUGCCCCUAGCCUAUGAUAUGUGCUACUCUUUUAUGCUAUGUUAGGCGGUGAGGUUGUAUAGUUAUUUCCCCCGCAGGUAGUAAUUCUAUUCAGGCCUUAUGGCAAUGCGGGUGAGAUAGCCCUCGUGAUGUCAAUUUGCUUAUUGCACCUUAAUCGUGCUAGCUUCUUUCAUGUGUUAAUACUUUCAUUUAUUUUCCACAGUUUUAUUUGUGCACCUUGUUGUACUUGAUAUCAGUAUUCAUAUGUUUAGUGAGCUCGAGCAUUUUGGUUUGAUGAGCAUUUGGGAGCGGGCUACAUGCCGCAGCGGAUGUUAUGUGGGAUACCCUUUCCUUGUGUUCAUUGGGUGUUGUGUUUUCACUGUAUGGGACGAUUUGAAGAAGAACUACACUUUUGUUAUUACACAUGUUGUUCUCGUUAGAUAAUUCUUAUACCCUACUUUUCUUUGCUUGUGCUACAUAAUUGAGUUAUUGUUGGUUUGGUGUACGAACUGUGUAAUAUGAGAAUCCGUGUGGUUCCGUGAUGAGCUGUCAAUUGUGCUAUUUGUAUUCGCUGAGAUGAGGUUCUUAGACCUGAUAUUAGUACUAUGGCAUCGGGGAUGAGGAGUGUUUGGAAGUAUGGGGGUGUUUCUGCUAAGAUUUGGGUUAUGGCCCUUGGCGGGCGAGAGAGCUUCUUGACUUGUUGUCUUCAAGGGCGGCUAUGAGUUCCCACAUGUUUCUUUAUCAUGAGCAGUGAUAUGGAGGUCCGAAACAAGGUUGUAUUCAAUGUGAAGUAUAUUGUCGGCAUCCAGGAUGUUAUUUGAGCAUCUAUGGUGGUAAGAUGUUAUUGCUUCGGGCAUUUGAGUUAUGUGAAGUAGCAUAUGAUUGUAUUCUGGAUUGGAAUUUGGUUUAUUCAGCUUGUUAAGGUUCAUGCAGUGUGAUGACGUAGAAUUCGGAUCCGAUGAUGACUUUCAGAUGUUGAGGUUUAGGUUCUGUUCUAAUGUUAUGGGCUAAGGAGGAGAUGAGAUCUUCAGUUAAGUUGCAUUGUCAGUUCUGCUUAGGUCGGGUGAUGGGGAAUCACCCCUGGGUGUAUGUAUGGUGAGCUCAUGCAGUGGUUCGAUGGCUUUGGAACGACUCCGGGCAAGUUCGAGGACGAACGUAUGUUUAAAUGGAGGAGGAUGUAACGACCCGACUUGUCAUUUUGAGCAAUUGCGCCCGAUUCGGCAGUUUGAGGCCUCGAGCAGCUUCACAUUAUGUAUAUCGACUUGUAUGCAUAGUUGGAUUCAGUCACCAGAUGAAUCAGAGUUGCACUGGAAGAAGGAACCUAGUUUUGGAAGUUUAAAUAGUGAAAAUUUGACCGGAAUUGGACUUUUGAGUAAACGUCCUCGGAACGGGUCGUGGGUGAUCUCAACAGCUUCGUAUGAUGAUUUUGGAAUUAGGCGCGCAUCCGUAUUCGGAUUUGGAGGUUCGUAGGGUAAUUUGAGGUGUUUCGGCAAAAGUUUGGAAAAUGAAGAAGUUUGACCCAUAGUUGACUUUUGUGAUAUUGGGGUCGGAAUGCGAUUUCGAGAGUUGGAACAGUUUCGUUAUGUAUGUUGGACUUUUCUGCAAAAUUUGGCGUCAUUCCGGGUUGAAUUGAUAGGUUUCAGCAUGAGUUUUGGAAGUUAGAAGGUUGAAACGUUCCUAAGUUAGAUUCGUGGUGUGAUUCGUUGUUUCGGUGUUUUUUUGAUGUGAUUUGUGACCUCGACUGAGUCGGUGUUAGGUUAUAUGACUUGUUUGUGUGUUUUAAUGGGGUACCGGGGGCCUCAGGUGGGCUACGGGUCAAUUCCCUUUAUUUUUGAACUAUUGUUUUCUGCUUCUGGUAUCCUCUUUCGCAAUCGUGAACCACCUUCCGCGUUUGCGAAGCUUUGUUGCUGACCACCUGGAAAUCCUUCUCCGCGUUCGCGUUUAGAGCUUCGCGUUCGCGAAGCUCUGCUUUAUCCCUCAUCGCGUUCGCGUCCCCCCUCACACGUUCGCGUAGUUAUGUUGUUCCACUCUUCACGUUCGCGUACUAGUUCACGCGUUCGCGUAGAGAAAUCUCUGGGCCAUAAUAUUUUCCUUCUUCGCAUUCGCAUGCGUGCUGUCGCGUUCGCAAAGCACAAUUGGGCAGCAUUCAUUUUCUUCUACGCGAACGAGAUACUUCCUCCGCGUACGCGGUGCUUUAAGACCUGGGCAGAAUAAAUAGUACUCUAUUCCGAGGGUUUGGCAUUUUCACCAUUUUUGGAGUUCUAGAGCUCAGUUUUGGGCGAUUCUUUGUGGGUUUUUGCAAGCAAAACGAUUGGGUAAGUGUUCUUCACCUAGAAUUGAUUAUAUUCCAUGAAUUUGUCUUCAUUUUUAUCAUUUAAUUUGUGUUUUGGGUUGAGUAAAAUGUUAGUUUUUUGAAGAAAAUUCCUAAAAUGAAAAAUCGUGAUUUGAGGGGCCAAAUGGUAUCGGAAUUUAAUAAAUUUUGUAUGGUUGCACUCAUAUUGGAAUGGGUAUUUGGAUUUUGUAAAAUUUGUCGGGUUCCGAGGCGCAGGCCUGGGGAUCGACUUUUGGACCAAAUUUUGGAUAUUGUUAAAUAUUGAGACUUUAUGAUCCGGUAUAGUUUCUUAUGUGUUUUAUUUGAGCUUUAAAGUUAAUUUGGAUAGAUUUAGCCAUCCAGAGGUCUUUUCACUCGAGAAGUGCAUUUUAGAGUAUCGGUUUGUCGACUUUGAGGUAAGUAUCUUGCCUAACCUUGUGUGGGGGACUUCCCCUUAGGAUUUGAGUCUUCCAUGCUAAUUGUAGUCCGUGCAUGCGAGGUGACGAGUGCGUGCUCGAACUUAUUUGUGGGCAAUUUGCUCUAGGGUUCUUAGGUCCUUAUGUUCAUUAUGUGCAAAGUACUCCAUUACAUUUGAGUUUCCUACUUGCUUAAAUUACCUCUAUAUGCUCCAUAUGAUGUUGCUAGCUUUCCUCUAAUUCCUAUGUGUUACAUUAACCCUCAUUUGCCUUACUUGAAGUAACUGCCUUCCUUAUUGUUUUGAUACUUCUUGAUUAUGAGUUCCUCUAUGACUUCGUGCAAAUAGGUUACAUGUCCAAUUGUUGUGGAUACCGGUGUAGUUAUCACGUUCUUAUUAUAUCUUGUUGUUUUGUUGAGGUUUCAUUGUGAAAUUAAUUGUUGGUAUGAGUUUGGUUAUAGUUGAUUCCCUUGCCGAGACAUAUUUAAUUCUUACUGUUGGUUUCCUUGCCGGGAUGUGUUUAUUCUAGUUGUUCACUCCCUUGUCGGGAUAUGGUUGUUUCCUUAUUAUUCCCUUGCCGGAAUUCUUUUGUGAUUGGUGGUGAUUUGUAUAUUUGGGUCGGGUUGCACGCCGCAACAUCAUUAUAUGAUUUGGAUCGGGUUGCACACUGCAACAUCAUUAUAUUUGGAUCGGGUUGCACGCCGCAACAAUAUUACAUGANNNNNNNNNNNNNNNNNNNNNNNNNUUUGGAUCGGGUUGCACGCCGCAACAUCAUUAUAUGAUUUGGAUCGGAUUUCACGCCGUAACAUCAUUAUAUGAUUUGGAUCAGGUUGCACGCUGCAACAUCAUUAUAUUUGGAUCGGGUUGCACGCCACAACAAUAUUACAUGAUUUGGAUCGGGUUGCACGCCGCAACAAUAUUAUAUAAUUUGGAUCGGAUUACACGCCACAACAAUAUUAUAUUAUUUGGAUCGGGUUGCACGUUGCAGCAGUACUAUAUGAUUGGGAUCAGGUUGCACACCGCAACAAGAAAGAAUAAAAGUGAAUAUUGACUCAUAUGGUGAGAACGAGAGAGUAAAAGCACGAAGGGUGAUGCCUUGCACUUUUUGCUGCUGUGUUUAUUUGUUGUUAUCAAUUCAAGUGUUUAAACUAUUUAAAUUCCUUUAAUAUUGUGAUCCUUUAUGUUAGAACCGACAAUGUUUUCAAUUUCUCAUCGUUUUAUGUAUAUAUAUAUAUAUAUUAUAAUACUUUAAACUCCAAUAGUUGUUACAGCCUUAAUUCUAUUAGUUUCUCAAUUAUACCCCUUUAAACCGUCUGAGGUUGUAUUUUACUUAAACAGGAAUUUCUUCUAAGUUUUAAGUUAUUAAAUCUCAUGUUAAAGGUAAUAAUCCAUUUGAUGUUGUAUUUUUAAAUUAAAAGGGGUACUUUCCUUACUCAAAUGAUUUCAAAAGAAACAACUUCAUCUUUUCUCGUUGGCUUUCUCAAUUAGUUUAGAAAUUGUAAUUUUACUUAUAUUAGGUAAAUGGGACUUCUAGAACAUAUUGAGUGCGUUGUACGGACAUUAUGUAUUGUAUAACGUGUGGAUUCUGUUGUCAAAACUGAGAUGGAAAAUAUGGGGGCACAAGGUGCCAUGCGUGUGGAAGGUUCGGGAGUUAAGAUUAUGAUGUGAGAAACCGAGGAUUGAGAUGGUCGGGAUUGAGUAUUAGACAUGAUGUGAUUGAUUGAGUGGAUAAUUACUUCUUUAAUACAUUCUUACUUGUCUCUGUUCCUGUUAUGUUAGUGUUGAUUUACUUGGUUAUCUUAUUUACUUGGGUAUCGUUCGUUACUACCCGUGUUCUCCCUUUACUGUUCGUACUGUUUGUAUUUUGAUUUCUUUCCACUGUUGAUAUUACCUCGUUAUCUCUAUCUCGAUGUUUUAUUAUCAUAUCCUGUUCAUUUCAUUUGAUCAGUUGGUGUCUUGACUGUUCUUCGUAACUACCCCACCGAGGUUAGUCUUGAUACUUAUUGGGCACCGCCAUAGUGUGCUCAUACUACACUUCUGUACAAUUUUUUGUGUACAGAUCCAGGCAUUGAUCUAUAGUAGCUAUGUGGGUUGUCGUGGUGGAGACUCACGGUAACCUGUUGUUGCGUUCGCAGGCCUCAGAGUCACCUUCGUUUAUAUUUAAGUUCCAUUAAUUCCUUCUCAUUCUGGAACAGUAUUGUAUUUAUUUUGUAUAACUACUCUUAGAAAGACUUAUGAUUUGUACCACCGAUUUUGGGUAUUGUGAUUUAUUGAAAGUUAUUUAAUUUGAAUUCAGUAAAUAUUAAUGUUAUUUCUAUAAAUGUUAGGCUUACCUAGAUUAGAGACUAGAUGCCGUCACCACUCAUUCGAAAAGAUUUUGGGUCAUGACAAAGAACAAGCAGAACAAUGAGCUUUAUAUUAAUUUCUUUUUUUUUGGUUUUAGGUGUUAGAAUAUUUUUAGGAAAAUUCUCCUACACUUUAAUCAUAGAUUAUCCUUUUUCUUCUUGACCAAAAAAAGAAAAAUAAUAAGUUCCCUUUUAUUUAUGACUUAUGUCCUCUUUUGUGAACGCGUUCUAAUUAGUAAUCUCACUUUUAUCUAUCUCUUUUGUAUUUGUGUAGAGUGAUUGGUCCUGCAAUGCCCUUUGCAAAAUUAAUUGUUGCAGCAACUAAAUUGAUAGAAGCACAAGCCGAGUUGAGGUGUUUCUAAAAAUUUUAAACUCCCCUCAAUUUGUUAGCCAACUUCUAAAACUUUAUCUUCUUGGUAUAUGCAUAUUUUUGGUUGGUUUAAUUUUUGGCCAAUAGAUCUAUGGCAUGAGCUUUGGUAUAUGCAUAUUUGUAUUGCUCUCACUUUUUACAAUUCUUGUAGUGGUUUUGUUGUCUUUUACCUAGCGGGGUCAACUUGUGCAAAAAUAUUCGUCUUGAGACUGCAACAAGUGUUUAUUUGGAAGUUUCACUACUAGAAAAUUAUUUUAUUGGAACGGUUAUUUUGCAACGGUUUUGUAACUGUUACAAUAGGUCAUAUAUUGGAAUGACAUGUAAUUCAUAUUACUUGGUCUAUCUGCUAAACUGGCAAGGGAGAAACUCAUCUCAAGGUAACUAGCUAAUAUUGAAGGAAACAAAGGAGUGCAACAAAUAGAAAGUUGUAAAGAAAAUAACUUUGGGGGUUAUUUAUAUGGAAAGGAAACUAAAAGUGACCUGGCACGUCAUGUCUUUUUCUGUAGCUUCUUUAGGUCUUCCAUGGUUUUAAUCUUACCACUUCCUUCUUUUAGGUGUCUUGUUCCUUAGUUCAGAUGGAUAUGUCAAAAGAAUGUCACGAUUGCAUAUGUAUUGUCUUUUCUGUUUUCUUUUGCGAGAUCAUAGAUCUUAAAUUCUGGAUACUUACCAGUCCACUCCAUUCUUUGAUGCAUUCUUUCUUCAUAGAUCUUAAAUUCUGGAUACUUAGCUCGUGGUUGCUGCCUUUUCCCUUCUUUUUCUACUUCACUGCUACUAUUUUUUUGCGUCUUUCACUUGCUUGUUGUUGUUGUUGCUGUUUUUCCUUCUUUUACUGCUUUUUCUUUAUCGAAAAAGUUAUGGAUGCUUAGCUCGUUACUACUGUUUUUCCUUCUUUUUCUACUUCACUGCUGCUAUGUUUUGCGUCUUUCACUAGCUUGUUGUUUCCAUUUUUCCUUCUGUAUCCCAAUUACGGCUUAGGUACUCCGUCAUAUUUCUUAUUACAGGAAAGUGUUUAAGACGUUAGAAUAUCAUGUUCUAUAUAGUACCAUAAAUAUUAAACAAAUAUCGACAUCAUUAAGUGAUAACAAAUUUGCUUGGAAUGAAAAUAUUUCCUGACCAAUGGUACUCUGCAAGUUCAAUAUAGUUGCUGAAUCAACUCCAAUUCUAAAUGAUCAAAGGAAACUUCACUUCUUAUGACUGUGGAUUGUUAUGUAGUGAUGGAUAAAGGUUGCGGGGAUACUUUUAUUAACGUCCAUUUUAUGUCUCAGAGCAGUUGUUAUAGAGUCCUCGUUUCUUCUUUAACUAUUUUUUCUUUAUCGUCAUUAUUGCGUAUACUUCGCUUGUUGCUGCUCUUUUUUCAUGUUCUCAUGUUCCACUUGUAAGCUUGUUGCUGUUGUUUUUUAAAGUUCUACGUAAUGCUGUUUUGACCAUGUGUCAUUUUUACUAAGGAAACUCUGCCGAGAAUUCUAGGAAUUUAGAGAGUUAGAAAAUUUUCAAGCUAUCAAAUUGUCAUUCAAUAAUCUUUAAAAAAUUUAUUUAAUUAUUUUUUAUUAUCUUUUGUAGGUGCAACGAUUGCGGAUAAAAGCAGUGACGAAGACCUUACUUGAAUAUUGUUGAUCAUUGCUAGAGUUUCUAUUAUCAUGUUCAAGGAUAUUUUAGUUUAGAACUCAUUGUAUGCAAACUCAUCUAUUUUGACUUUUGAAUUGUUGAUCAAAUAAUGUAUUCAUAUUUUGCUUUUGUAUAUGGCUAAAGCUAA